rnacentral:RNase_P_RNA from 1 species
UGAGCAGACUAUGCAGCAGCGGAAACGUUAAAGUUUACGAGGAAAGUCCGGGCAUCACAGAGCAGGGUAGCUGCUAACGGCAGCCGAGGGCGACCUUAGGGCAAGUGCAACAGAGAUAUACCGCCGCUUUUGCGGUAAGGGUGGAAAGGUGAGGUAAGAGCUCACCGGAGCGCAGGAGACUGCGCUGCCAUGUAAACCCUAUCCGAUGCAACGUCUAUUGGUGCUUUGUAUCUUAACGUCUGCUCGGCGGAUACAAAGUAAUGACGGCUUCAGCUUACUGGCGACUGUAAGCGUAGAUAAAUUGCUGCACACGACAGAACCCGGCUUAUCGGUCUGGUCAUUUC